AUUGAACGCUGGCGGCAUGCCUUACACAUGCAAGUCGAACGGCAGCACGGGAGCAAUCCUGGUGGCGAGUGGCGAACGGGUGAGUAAUAUAUCGGAACGUGCCCAGUCGUGGGGAUAACGUAGCGAAAGCUACGCUAAUACCGCAUACGAUCUAUGGAUGAAAGCGGGGGAUCGCAAGACCUCGCGCGAUUGGAGCGGCCGAUAUCAGAUUAGGUAGUUGGUGAGGUAAAGGCUCACCAAGCCGACGAUCUGUAGCUGGUCUGAGAGGACGACCAGCCACACUGGGACUGAGACACGGCCCAGACUCCUACGGGAGGCAGCAGUGGGGAAUUUUUGGGACAAUGGGCGCAAGCCUGAUCCAGCAAUGCCGCGUGCAGGAUGAAGGCCUUCGG
rnacentral:rRNA from 1 species